rnacentral:rRNA from 1 species
AUAAUACUCCAUAGAUUAUGGAAUCUGGAAUGAUCCAUAGUUGAAAGUUUCCGGCGCUUAAGGAUCGGUCUGCGGCCUAUCAGGUAGUAGUGGGUGUAACGUACCUACUAGCCGAUGACGGGUAUGGGCCUUGAGAGAGGGAGCCCAGAGUUGGAUUCUGAGACACGAAUCCAGGCCCUACGGGGCGCAGCAGUCGCGAAAACUUCACAAUGGGGGCAACCCCGAUGAGGGAAUUCCUAGUGCUAACACAAUUGUGUUAGCUUUUCUCUAGCGUAGAUAACUAGAGGAAUAAGGGCUGGGAAAGACGGGUGCCAGCCGCCGCGGUAAUACCUGCAGCCCAAGUGGUGGUCGAUAUUAUUGAGUCUAAAACGUUCGUAGCCGGUUCGAUAAAUCUUUGGGUAAAUCGGGGAGCUUAACUUUCCGUCUUCCGAGGAGACUGUCGAACUUGGGACCGGGAGAGGCUAGAGGUACUUCUGGGGUAGGGGUAAAAUCCUGUAAUCCUAGAAGGACCACCGGUGGCGAAGGCGUCUAGCUAGAACGGAUCCGACGGUGAGGGACGAAGCCCUGGGUCGCAAACGGGAUUAGAUACCCCGGUAGUCCAGGGUGUAACGCUGCAGACUUGGUGU